AGCUAAGAACAACUCUCUUCACAACUUGCUUUUGGUGCCCCUCUGUGGACAUAAGACUCAGAAAAUGAGCUCACACGUCCCCAUACGCCCAACAACUCUUACUGCUUUGACCACUGGGGGCAGUGUUUUGCAUUUCAGUACGCACAGAAUGAUAUCAGCUAAAGAACCAUCAACCUACUGUUUCUGAUUUCUGUGUGAGAUCAGUCUGUUCCCUGAGGCCUCCACUUGAUUCCUCACAGAAUCUUCCUCAGGUCUGGUUCUCUAGAGAUGAUCGUAUGCGGCAGUGGACGGAGGAGCCGCUCGAGACGCUGAACUGUAGUAAUACGGAGAACCUGCAGAGAGAGAGACAGCGAGAUUACCGUGCGUAUGCAUGGGGAGUUAUGGAGAUGUUUCUGAAAUUAUUAUGUAUUAUUGAAACGUCAGCUGUCCCUUCUUUAAAGUGGAGAAAGACUCAAUAGCCUGAAGACAGUUACUUGCACAAGACCAGUGUUGAGAACAAAGAAUGAGACGUUUCACCGGAGCCCAGUUUGAGAACCACUGAUGUAAACAUGAGUGUAAUGCUCACCUGCAACUAUUCCUGUGAUGGUGGACGAUGAGAAACCCGUCUGAGUGGCUGAAGGGAUGUGUGGAGGGUAACCGGGCAACAUGGAGCUCGCCACAUCUCGUCCUGAAACAGUUCAUCGAAA